AGAUUUCCCUAAGGCAGUUCUCCAGGCUGAGACUUGUCUAUUGCACUCCAAGCAGACUGAUCCCUGAGAGCUUCCCUGAAUGCAGGAACUCAACUGCACAAUUUUGUGGCAACAGGGGACGACAUUCAUGCUUCCCCCAC
rnacentral:snRNA from 1 species